CUCAUGCAUGGGACUCGGCGACAUCCUUUCGCCCACGUCUGACCUACGGCAAGCUUGGCUGCACAUUGCAUGCGUCAAAGGGGUCGUAGCACACAACGCACAGACCAUUCUGGGCCUGAUGAUUUAUGUCGUUGCUCCAUUAAUUUGUGAAAACCAGUGUACAAGCACUGCCUAACUAAUGCAUGCUCGUUUCACCGGCAAGAAAAAACAGUACUACUCGUAUUCAGAUAGUGUAGGAGUUAGAUGAUACUCCUAAUUG
rnacentral:lncRNA from 1 species